rnacentral:rRNA from 1 species
AUACGGAGGAUCCGAGCGUUAUCCGGAUUUAUUGGGUUUAAAGGGAGCGUAGAUGGAUGUUUAAGUCAGUUGUGAAAGUUUGCGGCUCAACCGUAAAAUUGCAGUUGAUACUGGAUAUCUUGAGUGCAGUUGAGGCAGGCGGAAUUCGUGGUGUAGCGGUGAAAUGCUUAGAUAUCACGAAGAACUCCGAUUGCGAAGGCAGCCUGCUAAGCUGCAACUGACAUUGAUGCUCGAAAGUGUGGGUAUCAAACAGGAUUAGAUACCCUGGUAGUCCACACUGUAAACGAUGAAUACUCGCUGUUUGCGAUAUACUGCAAGCGGCCAAGCGAAAGCGUUAAGUAUUCCACCUGGGGAGUACGCCGGCAACGGUGAAACUCAAAGGAAUUGACGGGG